GUGAGUCAUCGAAUCUUUGAACGCACAUUGCNCCCGCUAGCAUUCUGGCGGGCAUGCUUGUUCGAGCGUCCUCAAAUAACCCUCGGGCCCGGGAGACUUAGGUCUCUUUGCGGCCCGGUGUUGGGAAGCCGCGGCUGCCGCGGCCCCCUAAAACCAGCGGCGGACCCCUCCGUGGCCCUGGCGUAGUAAUAAACCUCGUCUUCGGCUGUCGGUUGGGCCCUGCCCCUAGAACCAUCUCUCAAAUUUGGACCUCGAAUCAAGUAGGAAUACCCGCUGAACUUAAGCAUAUCAAUAAGCGGA
rnacentral:misc_RNA from 1 species